rnacentral:piRNA from 1 species
UACAUAAAUGAGGUUUCUUGAUCAGUCC